AGGACGAACGCUGGCGGCGUGCUUAACACAUGCAAGUCAAGGGGGCCUAGCAAUAGGCAACCGGCGAACGGGUGCGUAACACGUGAGCAACCUGCCGAUUUGUGGGGGAUAGCCGGCCCAACGGCCGGGUAAUACCGCAUACGAUCUUUUGGGGGAGUCCCUGGGAGAUGAAACUUUCGAGGCAGAUCGAGGGGCUCGCGGCCUAUCAGCUAGUUGGCGGGGUAAUGGCCCACCAAGGCAUCGACGGGUAGCUGGU
rnacentral:rRNA from 1 species